rnacentral:rRNA from 1 species
GAUUCCCUAGUACUGCGAGUGAAGCGGGAAAAGCUCAAAUUUAAAAUCUGCCAUCCGGCCGAAUUGUAAUCUAGAGAAGUGUUUUCGGUCGUCAUCUCGGACAAGUCCCUUGGAACAGGGCGUCAUAGAGGGUGAGAAUCCCGUACUUGCCGAGUUACUGAUGUCUAUGUGAUACGCUCUCGAAGAGUCGAGUUGUUUGGGAAUGCAGCUCAAAAUGGGUGGUAAAUUCCAUCUAAAGCUAAAUAUUGGUGGGAGACCGAUAGCGAACAAGUACCGUGAGGGAAAGAUGAAAAGCACUUUGGAAAGAGAGUUAAACAGUACGUGAAAUUGUUGAAAGGGAAGCGCUUGAAGUUAGUCGCGUUUUCGGGGACUCAGCCGUCAAGGUGUAUUUCCUCGUGAACGGGCCAGCAUCAGUUUCAGACGUAGGAAAAGGAUUUGGGGAAUGUGGCAACUCCGGUUGUGUUAUAGCCUCUUGUCGUAUGCUACGUUUGGGACUGAGGACUGCCAUCUGUAGGAUGCUGGCGUAAUAGCUUUAAGCGACCCGUCUUGAAC